GCGCUCACCUCAGUGGCACAUAUAGUAAAAUUGGAAGGAUACAGAGAAGAUUAGCAUGGCCCCUGCACAAGGAUGAUACCCAAACUCAUGAAGCAUUCCAAAUUAAA
rfam:Myotis davidii contig170329, whole genome shotgun sequence.